GUCUGAAGGGUUAGCUCAGUCAGUAGAGCAGUAGACUCUUAAUCUCAGGGUUGUGGGUUUGAGCACCAGGUUGGGCA